rnacentral:tRNA from 1 species
ACCUAUAUAUUCUAAGAAUAAGAGGCUGAAUUCUUACUUCAGUAAUGUGAAUUUCACUAUGGGUU